GAGUUUGAUCGUGGCUCAGAGUGAACGCUGGCGGCAGGCCUAACACAUGCAAGUCGAACGGCAGCGCAGCAGUAGCAAUACUGUGGGCGGCGAGUGGCGGACGGGUGAGGAAUACAUCGGAAUCUACCUUGUCGUGGGGGAUAACGUAGGGAAACUUACGCUAAUACCGCAUACGACCUACGGGUGAAAGCGGCGGACCGCAAGGCGUCGCGCGAUUGGAUGAGCCGAUGUCCGAUUAGCUAGUUGCGGGGUAAGAGCCACCAAGGCGACGAUCGGUAGCUGGUCUGAGAGGAUGAUCAGCCACACUGGAACUGAGACACGGUCCAGACUCCUACGGGAGGCAGCAGUGGGGAAUAUUGGACAAUGGGCGCAAGCCUGAUCCAGCCAUGCCGCGUGUGUGAAGAA
rnacentral:rRNA from 1 species